rnacentral:rRNA from 1 species
AAUCAACGCUGGCGGCGUGCCUCAGACAUGCAAGUCGAACGAUUAAACUUCCCUUCGGGGAAGAUAUAAAGUGGCGUACGGGUGAGUAACACGUAAGUAAUCUACCUUCGAGUGGGGAAUAACGUCCGGAACGGACGCUAAUACCGCAUAAUGCAGCGGCAUCUAUGAUGACAGUUGUUAAAGAUUUAUCGCUUGAAGAGGAGCUUGCGGCAGAUUAGCUAGUUGGUAAGGAAUGGCUUACCAAGGCGACGAUCUGUAUCCGGUCUAAGAGGACGGUCGGACACACUGACACUGAAUAACGGGUCAGACUCCUACGGGAGGGCAGCAGUCGGGAAUUUUU